UACAGAGACUGCAAGCGUUGUUCGGAUUCAUUGGGCGUAAAGGGUCCGUAGGCGGUCGGUUAAGUCGGAUGUGAAAUCUCGUGGCCUAACCACGAGCGGUCAUUCGAAACUAAUCGGCUAGAGGGCUGGAGAGGAGACUGGAAUUGUCGGUGUAGCGGUGAAAUGCGUAGAGAUCGACAAGAACACCGGUGGCGAAGGCGGGUCUCUGGACAGUUCCU
rnacentral:rRNA from 1 species